UACGUAGGGUGCGAGCGUUAAUCGGAAUUACUGGGCGUAAAGCGUGCGCAGGCGGUUUUGUAAGCCAGAUGUGAAAUCCCCGGGCUUAACCUGGGAAUGGCAUUUGGGACUGCAAGGCUGGAGUGUGGCAGAGGAGACUGGAAUUCCUGGUGUAGCAGUGAAAUGCGUAGAUAUCGUAAGGAAGACCAGUGGCGAAGGCGGGUCUCUGGACAGUUCCUGACGCUGAGGCACGAAGGCCAGGGGAGCAAAACGGGG
rnacentral:rRNA from 1 species